rnacentral:rRNA from 1 species
CCUACGGGCGGCAGCAGUGGGGAAUAUUGGACAAUGGGGGGAACCCUGAUCCAACCAUGCCGCGUGUGUGAAGAAGGCCCUCGGGUUGUAAAGCACUUUCAGUGAGGAAGAACGCCUGGUGGUUAAUACCCAUCAGGAAAGACAUCACUCACAGAAGAAGCACCGGCUAACUCCGUGCCAGCAGCCGCGGUAAUACGGAGGGUGCGAGCGUUAAUCGGAAUUACUGGGCGUAAAGCGCGCGUAGGUGGCUUGAUAAGCCGGUUGUGAAAGCCCCGGGCUCAACCUGGGAACGGCAUCCGGAACUGUCAAGCUAGAGUGCAGGAGAGGAAGGUAGAAUUCCCGGUGUAGCGGUGAAAUGCGUAGAGAUCGGGAGGAAUACCAGUGGCGAAGGCGGCCUUCUGGACUGACACUGACACUGAGGUGCGAAAGCGUGGGUAGCAAACAGGAUUAGAUACCCUGGUAGUC